rnacentral:rRNA from 1 species
AUUGAACGCUGGCGGCAGGCCUAACACAUGCAAGUCGAGCGGUAACACAGGGAGCUUGCUCCUGGGUGACGAGCGGCGGACGGGUGAGUAAUGUCUGGGAAACUGCCUGAUGGAGGGGGAUAACUACUGGAAACGGUAGCUAAUACCGCAUAACGUCGCAAGACCAAAGAGGGGGACCUUCGGGCCUCUUGCCAUCAGAUGUGCCCAGAUGGGAUUAGCUAGUAGGUGGGGUAAUGGCUCACCUAGGCGACGAUCCCUAGCUGGUCUGAGAGGAUGACCAGCCACACUGGAACUGAGACACGGUCCAGACUCCUACGGGAGGCAGCAGUGGGGAAUAUUGCACAAUGGGCGCAAGCCUGAUGCAGCCAUGCCGCGUGUAUGAAGAAGGCCUUCGGGUUGUAAAGUACUUUCAGCGGGGAGGAAGGUGUUGAGGUUAAUAACCUCAGCAAUUGACGUUACCCGCAGAAGAAGCACCGGCUAACUCCGUGCCAGCCGCCGCAGUAA